rnacentral:rRNA from 1 species
CCAGGCCCAAGGUCAGCAGCAGGCGCGAAAAUUAUCGAAGCCCGCCUAGGGGCGAUAGUGAGGAGACGUGUAUAACGAAGUACGUGUAAAGAACGUGCUAAUAACUGGAGGUCAAGUCUGGUGCCAGCAUCCGCGGUAAUUCCAGCUCCAGGGGUGUCUAUGAUGAUUGCUGCGAUUAAAAAGUCCGUAGUCAAUCUGACUGACUGACCUGCAAUGUGAUUGAUUAAAGAACGAGCAGGGUUAGGAAAGCAGAGAAUUAGGAGCGACCGAGGGCUAGAGUAUUGAAUGGCGAGAGGUGAAAUUUGAUGACCCAUUCAGGAGUGACAAAGGCGAAGGCACUAGUCAAGGGCGAAUCCGAUGAUCAAGGACGUAGGCUAGAGUUUCGAAAACGAUUAGAGACCGGAGUAGUUCUAGCAGUAAACUAUGCCGACGCCGUGGUAUCAACAAUGGUAUUGCGGAAGAGAAAUCAAGUAAGGCUUUGGGGAGAGUACGCGCGCAAGCGAUAAAUU